GAUGAACGCUGGCGGCGUGCCUAAUACAUGCAAGUCGAGCGAACGGACGAGAAGCUUGUUUCUCUGAUGUUAGCGGCGGACGGGUGAGUAACACGUGGAUAACCUACCUAUAAGACUGGGAUAACUUCGGGAAACCGGAGCUAAUACCGGAUAAUAUUUUGAACCGCAUGGUUCAAAAGUGAAAGACGGUCUUGCUGUCACUUAUAGAUGGAUCCGCGCUGCAUUAGCUAGUUGGUAAGGUAACGGCUUACCAAGGCAACGAUGCAUAGCCGACCUGAGAGGGUGAUCGGCCACACUGGAACUGAGACACGGUCCAGACUCCUACGGGAGGCAGCAGUAGGGAAUCUUCCGCAAUGGGCGAAAGCCUGACGGAGCAACGCCGCGUGAGUGAUGAAGGUCUUCGGAUCGUAAAACUCUGUUAUUAGGGAAGAACAUAUGUGUAAGUAACUGUGCACAUCUUGACGGUACCUAAUCAGAAAGCCACGGCUAACUACGUGCCAGCAGCCGCGGUAAUACGUAAGUGGCAAGCGUUAUCCGGAAUUAUUGGGCGUAAAGCGCGCGUAGGCGGUUUUUUAGUCUGAUGUGAAAGCCCACGGCUCAACCGUGGAGGGUCAUUGGAAACUGGAAAACUUGAGUGCAGAAGAGGAAAGUGGAAUUCCAUGUGUAGCGGUGAAAUGCGCAGAGAUAUGGAGGAACACCAGUGGCGAAGGCGACUUUCUGGUCUGUAACUGACGCUGAUGUGCGAAAGCGUGGGGAUCAAACAGGAUUAGAUACCCUGGUAGUCCACGCCGUAAACGAUGAGUGCUAAGUGUUAGGGGGUUUCCGCCCCUUAGUGCUGCAGCUAACGCAUUAAGCACUCCGCCUGGGGAGUACGACCGCAAGGUUGAAACUCAAAGGAAUUGACGGGGACCCGCACAAGCGGUGGAGCAUGUGGUUUAAUUCGAAGCAACGCGAAGAACCUUACCAAAUCUUGACAUCCUUUGACAACUCUAGAGAUAGAGCCUUCCCCUUCGGGGGACAAAGUGACAGGUGGUGCAUGGUUGUCGUCAGCUCGUGUCGUGAGAUGUUGGGUUAAGUCCCGCAACGAGCGCAACCCUUAAGCUUAGUUGCCAUCAUUAAGUUGGGCACUCUAAGUUGACUGCCGGUGACAAACCGGAGGAAGGUGGGGAUGACGUCAAAUCAUCAUGCCCCUUAUGAUUUGGGCUACACACGUGCUACAAUGGACAAUACAAAGGGCAGCGAAACCGCGAGGUCAAGCAAAUCCCAUAAAGUUGUUCUCAGUUCGGAUUGUAGUCUGCAACUCGACUACAUGAAGCUGGAAUCGCUAGUAAUCGUAGAUCAGCAUGCUACGGUGAAUACGUUCCCGGGUCU
rnacentral:rRNA from 1 species